rnacentral:rRNA from 1 species
CCUACGGGUGGCAGCAGUGAGGAAUAUUGGUCAAUGGACGCAAGUCUGAACCAGCCAUGCCGCGUGCAGGAAGAUGGCUCUAUGAGUUGUAAACUGCUUUUGUACGAGGGUAAAUCCCGAUACGUGUAUCGGGUUGAAAGUAUCGUCCGAUUAAGGAUCGGUAAACUCCGUACCAGCAGCGGCGGUAAUACGGAGGAUUCAAGCGUUAUCCGGAUUUAUUGGGUUUAAAGGGUGCGUAGGUGGUUCGAAAAGUUAGAGGUGAAAUCCCGGGGCUCAAGGGCGGCACUGCCACUGAUACUGUCGGGCUAGAGUGUAGAUGCGGUAGGAGGAAUGUAUGGUGUAGCGGUGAAAUGCAUAGAGAUCAUACAGAACACCGAUUGCGAAGGCAGCUUACCAAACUACGACUGACGUUGAGGCACGAAAGCGUGGGGAGCAAACAGGAUUAGAUACCCUUGUAGUC